rnacentral:sRNA from 1 species
GCCAGGCACGGUGGCGCAUGCCUGUAAUCCCAGCAGCUUGGGAGGCUGAGACGGGAGUCCCGAUCAGGAGUUCAAAGCCAGCCUCAGCAACUUAUCAAGACCCUAAGCAACUCAACCCUCUCUCUA